UGUGACCUCAAAUCAGGUAGGACUACCCGCUGAACUUAAGCAUAUCAAUAAGCGGAGGAAAAGAAACUAACAAGGAUUCCCCUAGUAACUGCGAGUGAAGCGGGAAAAGCUCAAAUUUAAAAUCUGUCAGUCUUUGGCUGUCCGAGUUGUAAUCUAGAGAAGUGUUAUCCGCGCUGGACCGUGUACAAGUCUCCUGGAAUGGAGCGUCAUAGAGGGUGAGAAUCCCGUCUUUGACACGGACUGCCAGGGCUUUUGUGAUGCGCUCUCAAAGAGUCGAGUUGUUUGGGAAUGCAGCUCAAAAUGGGUGGUAAAUUCCAUCUAAAGCUAAAUAUUGGCGAGAGACCGAUAGCGAACAAGUACCGUGAGGGAAAGAUGAAAAGAACUUUGGAAAGAGAGUUAAACAGUACGUGAAAUUGCUGAAAGGGAAACGCUUGAAGUCAGUCGCGUCAUCCAGGGAUCAACCUUGCUUUUGCUUGGUGUACUUUCUGGUUGACGGGUCAGCAUCAA
rnacentral:rRNA from 1 species